rnacentral:piRNA from 1 species
UGUGAGACCUUAAAUUUGCCUUGGCCUUGU